rnacentral:rRNA from 1 species
UACGUAGGCAGCGAGCGUUGUUCGGAGUUACUGGGCGUAAAGGGUGUGUAGGCGGUUGUUUAAGUUUGGUGUGAAAUCUCCCGGCUCAACUGGGAGGGUGCGCCGAAUACUGAAUGACUCGAGUGUGGGAGAGGUGAGUGGAAUUCCUGGUGUAGCGGUGAAAUGCGUAGAUAUCAGGAGGAACACCGGUGGUGUAGACGGCUCACUGGGCCAUUACUGACGCUGAGGAGCGAAAGCGUGGGGAGCGAACAGG